rnacentral:rRNA from 1 species
UACGUAGGAGGCAAGCGUUGUCCGGAAUUACUGGGCGUAAAGCGCGUGUAGGUGGUGGGACAAGUCUGCUGUGAAAGCGCCUGGCUUAACCGGGCGAGGUCGGCGGAAACUGUCCGACUCGAGGACGGUAGAGGGGGGUGGAAUUCCUGGUGUAGCGGUGAAAUGCGCAGAUAUCAGGAAGAACACCCGUGGCGAAGGCGGCUCUCUGGGACGGUACUGACGCUGAGACGCGAAAGCGUGGGGAGCGAACAGG